rnacentral:rRNA from 1 species
UACGAAGGGGGCUAGCGUUGCUCGGAAUCACUGGGCGUAAAGGGUGCGUAGGCGGGUUCUUAAGUCAGAGGUGAAAUCCUGGAGCUCAACUGCAGGGCUGCCUCCUAGACUGUUAGGCUCGAGCACGGUAGAGGCAGAUGGAAUUCCCGGUGUAGCGGUGGAAUGCGUAGAGAUCGGGAAGAACAUCGGUGGCGAAGGCGGUCUGCUGGGCCGUUGCUGACGCUGAGGCGCGACAGCGUGGGGAGCAAACGGG